rnacentral:piRNA from 1 species
UUGCCAAGGUCCAGGACAGUGCCUGUGU